UAGACCUUAAAACAACAUACUGGUAAGUGGAAAGACAGAAAUACCUAGAAACAAUAGAAAACAUGCAAUGGGCUUUUCUAGUUUUUAUGUUACCAUUGAGGGAUAGUUGAGUUUAUCUUACCAAAAAUCAGAUUGUGAGGAUAAAACACAGCACAAAAUGUGAUAUUAGUGCAUAAUUUAAUACUGCACUUGAACUUAUGGUUUAAGGCUAUUGAAUGUGUUGAGGUACAGUACUUUGUGUACUUAGUGGGUAGAUAAACUCAGCAAAAAAAGAAAUGUCCUCACUGUCAACUGCGUUUAUUUUCAGCAAACUUAACAUGUGUAAAUAUUUGUAUGAACAUAACAAGAUUCAACAACUGAGACAUAAACUGAACAAGUUCCACAGACAUGUGACUAACAGAAAUUGAAUAAUGUGUCCCUGAACAAAGGCGGGGUCAAAAUCAAAAGUAACAGUCAGUAUCUGGUGUGGCCACCAGCUGCAUUAAGUACUGCUGUGCAUCUCCUCCUCAUGGACUGCACCAGAUUUGACAGUUCUUGCUGUGAGAUGUUACCCCACUCUUCCAUCACGGCACCUGCAAGUUCCCAGACAUUUCUGGGGGGAAUAGCCCUAGUCCUCACCCUCCGAUCCAACAGGUCCCAGACGUGCUCAAUGGGAUUGAGAUCCGGGCUCUUCACUGGCCAUAGCAGGACACUGACAUUCCUGUCUUGCAGAAAAUCACGCACAGAACGAGCAGUAUGGCUGGUGGCAUUGUCAUGCUGGAGGGUCAUGUCAGGAUGAACCUGCAGGAAAGGUACCACAUGAGGGACAAGGAUGUCUUCCCUGUAACACACAGUGUUGAGAUUGCCUGCAAUGACAACAAGCUCAGUCCGAUGAUACUGUGACACACUGCCCCAGGCCAUGACGGACCCUCCACCUACAAAUCGAUCCCGCUCCAGAGUGUAAUGCUCAUUCCUUCAACGAUAAACGCAAAUCUGACCGUCCCCCCUGGUGAGACAAAACUGCGACUCAUCAGUGAAGAGCACUUUUGCCAGUCCUGUCUGGUCCAGCGACAGUGGGUUUGUGCCCAUAGGCGACGUUGUUGCUGGUGAGGACAUGCCUUACAACAGGCCUACAAGCCCUCAGUCCAGCCUCUCUCAGCCUAUUGCAGACAGCCUGAGCAUUGAUGGAGGGAUUGUGCGUUCCUGGUGUAACUCAGGCAGUUGUUGUUGCUAUCCUGUACCUGUCACACAGGUGUGAUUUCCGGAUGUACCGAUCCUGUGCAGGUGUUGUUACACGUGGUCUGCCACUGCUAGGACAAUCAGCUGUCUGUCCUGUCUCCCUGUAACGCUGUUUUAGGAUUUUCACAGUACGGACAUUGCAAUUUAUUGCCCUGGCCACAUCUGCAGUCCUCAUGCCUCCUUGCAGCAUGCCUAAGGCACGUUCACGCAGAUGAGCAGGGACCCUGGGCAUCUUUCUUUUGGUGUUUUUCAGAGUCAGUAGAAAGGCCCCUUUAGUGUCCUAAGUUUUCAUAACUGUGACCUUAAUUGCCUACCAUCUGUAAGUUGUUAGUGUUUUGACGACCGUUCCACAUGUGCGUGUUCAUUAAUUGUUUAUGGUUCUUUGAACAAGCAUGGGAAACAGUGUUUAAACCCUUUACAAUAAAGAUCUGUGAAGUUAUUUGGAUUUUUACGAAUUAUCUUUGAAAGACAGGGUCCUGAAAAAGGGAUGUUUCAGUUUUUGCUGACUUUAUGAUUUGCUCUGUAAACUGAAAUAGCAGGAGUGUUGUCAUACUGUCAUUUUUUACUGUACAACAUCAGAUGAGAUAACAUUCCUAGAACUCAUCAUAGUUUCUCAGAUAUCAGCAUUGGUGCUGUUCCUGUUGCAUUAGAGGAGAGGCUCGAGGUCCCAAAGCGGUCUGGUGGCAAAGCCUCUCUUCCUGCAGCUGUUCCUUAGGGAACAGGGAAUCUCCAGACUGGUGCAACAGUGGAAAGAUGAAGGCAUUCAAGAAUAAAAUGUCAUGGUUUACAACAGUGGAUGUGAUUCUGGAUCUGGAUACGGCUCAUCUCUCUCUCCUCCUGUCUGCAGACGGGAAACAAGUGACCCGGAGAGACCCUAGAAGAGGAGAGCAAAGAAAGAAUCUUCCAGACUACCCAGGAUAAUUUAAUCUGAUCGUCAGUGUCCUGGGAAAGGAGGGCUUUUCCACAGGGUGGUGUUAUUACAAAGUAAUGGUGAAGGGGAAGACUGACUGGACAUUAGGAGUGGCGAGAGUGUCCAUAAACAGGAAGGGUAGUGUUUUACUAAACCCUGAGAAAGAAUACUAGUUGAUAUGGCUGAGAGAUGGGAGCACAUACAAAGCUCUUGGUGACUCUCCUGUUCCUCUCUCCUUGACCCCAGGGUCGGGGUGUACAUUUACAUUUACAUUUAAGUCAUUUAGCAGACGCUCUUAUCCAGAGCGACUUACAAGGGUGGGUAUCCUUUUAUGAUGUGGGAGCUCAAUGCCAUAUCUACUUCUUCAUGGGCUACAACUUGAAGGCAUCAAAUUGUAGAACUGACUUAAUUUUGCGAGUCCCCAGGAAGAGUAGCUGCUGCCUUGGCAUAAUAAUAUCUGGAAUCAAGGUGAGACCCAAGUGCAGACUGUGUGAAGUAAUGAUGUUUAUUGUAACACCAGGGGCAGGCAAACGACAGGUCAAGGCAGGCAGGCUCAGGGACAGGCAGAGUUCAGUAAACCAGAGGUGGAGUAAAGGUCCAGGAUGGCAAGCAGGCUCAGGGUCAGGCAGAGUUCAGUAAUCCAGAGGUGGAGCAAAGGUAGGCUCAGGGUCCGGGAUGGGCAGAGUGGUCAGGUGGUCAGGUACAAGGUCAGGACAGGCAAGGGUAAAAAACCAGGAGGAUGCGAAAAAGGGAUGCAGGGACAAAGUCAGGCGCUGACAGGACGAACGCUGGUAGGAUUGACAAACAAGACGAACUGGCAACAGACAAACAGAAGACACAGGUAUAAGUACACAGGGGAUAAUGGGGAAGAUAGGUGACACCUGGAGGGGGGUGGAGACAAGCACAAAGACAGGUGUAACGGAUCAGGGCGUGACAAAUACAUCCAUAAUAAAUACGAAUACAAACUUUGCUGACACACUCAAUCCAUACUUCAGCCCAGGGGUCAAUCACAGUCGCAAUAAAGCCCCACUGGUCAUUUCUCCUGUCAAUCACAAAGACUAAAUCUACACUUCAGGACAUAUGUAAAUGUAUAUAUUUAUUUAAAAUGUCUGUUUAUCUAAAUAAAUGUAACAAAUAUCAAAAUCUAUGUAAAGUAAGUCUACUCACAUACAAGGAACUAUGUAAAGUUUUUAUCUGUCUAAUAGGUCAGCUGUACAUUGAUUGGUCGUUAUCAUGUUAUCACGUUGCCUAUUCAAGCAGUUUGAAGGCAUUUGGACAAGGCAUUGGGAUGUUGGUUUAGACACCAUUCAUCAUUAAAGCACUGCAUCAUAAGAGAUGACUGCUCUUUCAAGUAGAAAGAUAAUACACAUUCUUAGAUUAAAGCGAGUAAAGUCAUAUAAAUUAGCACAUUUUAAGAAUUAUUUGAGUAAUUAAUCAUAAUAUUAUUAUUAACCAUUAUGUACACAGGUGAUGUUACAGGUAUGAUAAGGUAUCCAGACUGGUAGAAUCUUCUUACUCCAGAGUCAGGAUUCUAACAUUCCGGAGUCAGGAUUCCUCUGUUCCACGUCUUUGGAACUGCAACAAACAGAGGAAAAACAAAUUCCCAAUAACAUCACAAUUCAAUCCCUGUGGGUAUUCAACAUGGCUCCAACACAAUCACUCACUCCCAUCCUUAGGUCCUUGACCUGUUCAUAUACUGAUAGCCUUGAUGCCUGUGACAAUGAGGCUGAUGAAUACUAGCUACAACAGUUAAUUAUGAUUCUUACCUUACUGAACAGGGUUCCUGUUUUGUGGAUGAUGGAAGGUUUCCUCGAAGUGGAGGGUGGCUUGGUGAGUUCUACGGAGUUAUUUGGAAGGGGAAAGGAUUUGUGCUGGGACAGAGGUAGCAUCCAAGUAAUCUAGCAGCCCCUGAGUAAUAUCAAAUCUAUAGAGAAGAGAACCCCUUAUAGUGUUACAGAGAACACUUAACACCUGCAAACGUAGCUCACCUCAGAAACAACUCGACAACCCCCGAUUUGGUGUUGAGAAAGACAUUUGCAUCCAUAAUAUUAUAGGAGUUUGGGGGUACAGUAUGCUGCUAAUUACUAUUUUGUCAGAGGGGACAGAAACUCACAUUUUGUUGCGUCAAUCCCUACCUCUUUCUCCACCGUCUCGUCUGUGAUCUCCAGGUCACCUGGAAUAACCUUGUGCUGGGGAGGAAAGAAUCCAUGUACUUAUUCAUACUAGAAAGGAGUGUCUACAGGAUAAAGUAUUUUGAUGUAACAUGUUACAUAAGUUAACAUAAUAGGAUAUUGAAGGUAAGGAUACACUAGGUGGUGUACAGUGCCUUCGAAAACUAUUUAGAUCCCUUGACUUUUUCAACAUUUUGUUAGGUUACAGCCUUAUUCUAAAAUUGAUUAAAUGUUUUUUCCUCAUCAAUCUACACACAAUACCCAUAAUGACAAAGCAAAAACAUGUUUUUAGACAUUUUUGCUAAUUUAUAAAAAUGUUAAAAUAGAAAUGUCAAAUUUACAUACUUAUUCAGACUCUUUACUCAGUACUUUGUUGAAGCAUCUUUGGUAGCAAUUACAGCCUCAAGUCUUUUGGGGUAUGACGCUACAAGCUUGGCACACCUGUAUUUGGGAAGUUUCUCCCAUUCUUCUCUGCAGAUCCUCUCAAGCACUGUCAGGUUGGAUGGGGACAGCUAUUUGCAGGUCUCUCCAGAGAUGUUUGAUGGGGUUCAAGUCCGGGACUAUGUUGAACCUUUUUUUAGUUACUAUAUGAUUCCAUGUGUUUUAUUUCAGUUUUGAUGUGUUCACUAUAAUUCUUCAAUGUAGAAAAUAGUAAAAAAUAAAGAAAAACCCUGGAAUGUGUAAGGUUCUGUAUUUAUUUUAUGAGUCAACCUUGUGUUCUGUUUCAUUGUGUUCUUGAACGUAGCCGUCUUUAAUUUUUGUUCAUUGAUUUCACCUGUGUUAGUUACUCACCUAGUCUCAUCAGCUCCUUAUUUAGUUCAGUUCAUUCUGUUUGGUAUUGUGAGGUAGUUUGUUUUGACUGUACUAAGCCUUUUCCUAGCUCGUUUGUGAGAACCAGUUAUAGCCUUCAGUCCUAGUUUGAUUCACCUACCUGUUUGCCUACCUGUGUAUGACCAUUUCCUGCAUGUGACCACGAUUGAUGCCUUCUGCGAAGGCGAAAUAAAACACCUGCCACGCUCUG